GAAGUGGUACGGGUAACCGCCGUUGCAUAUACUGUAUAUGCAAUGGAGGAAAGUCCGGGCUCCACAGGGCAGUACGUCCGUCAUCUGCGGAUACCGUGAGGUAAGGAAAGUGCCACAGAAACUACACCGCCUGCCUCUGGCAGGUAAGGGUGAAAUUGUGAGGUAAGAGCUCACAUUCGGUACAGGAGACUGUAUCGAAGGGUAAACCCCGUACGGAGCAAGACCAAAUAGUUCUGCAUUGAGGUUGCCCGCCUUAUGGUUUUAAACACCAGCAGAACAGGUAGGUCGCAUAAGAUAAAUGGUUACCACCUCUUAUGAGGUACAGAACCCGGCUUACAGUACCACUUCCUUU
rnacentral:RNase_P_RNA from 1 species